AUUGAACGCUGGCGGCGUGCCUAAUACAUGCAAGUCGAACGCAGUGGGGACGGGUGAGUAACCCGUGGGUAACCUCCCAUCAGAUGGGAUAACACUUGGAAACAGGUGCUAAACCGAUACUGAUGGAUGGACCCGCGGUGCAUUAGUUAUUGGGUGAGGUAACGGCGCACCAAGGCCACGAUGCAUAGCGGGCCUGAGAGGGUGUACGGCAGCACGGGGACUGAGACACGGCCCAGACUCCUACGGGAGGCAGCAGUAGGGAAUCUUCGGCAAUGGACGAAAGUCUGACCGAGCAACGCCGCGUGAGUGAAGAAGGUUUUCGGAUCGUAAAACUCUGUUGUUAGAGAAGCGGUAUCUAACCAGAAAGCAACGGCUAACUACGUGCCAGCAGCCGCGGUAAUAC
rnacentral:rRNA from 1 species